ACUCCUACGGGAGGCAGCAGUGGGAAUAUUGGACAAUGGGCGAAAGCCUGAUCCAGCCAUGCCGCGUGUGUGAAGAAGGCCUUCGGGUUGUAAAGCACUUUCAGUGAGGAAGAAAGCCUUGGGGGUUAAUACCCUCGAGGGGAGGACAUCACUCACAGAAGAAGCACCGGCUAACUCCGUGCCAGCAGCCCGCGGUAAUACGGAGGGUGCGAGCGUUAAUCGGAAUUACUGGGCGUAAAGCGCGCGUAGGCGGCUUGAU
rnacentral:rRNA from 1 species